rnacentral:rRNA from 1 species
UACGGGGGGGGGCAAGCGUUGUUCGGAAUUACUGGGCGUAAAGGGCUCGUAGGCGGCCAACUAAGUCGGAUGUGAAAUCCCCAAGCUUAACUUGGGAACUGCAUCCGAUACUGGAUGGCUUGAAUCCGGGAGAGGGAUGCAGAAUUCCAGGUGUAGCGGUGAAAUGCGUAGAUAUCUGGAGGAAUACCGGUGGCGAAGGCGACACCCUGGACCAGCACUGACACUGAGGCACGAAAGCGUGGGGGAGCAAACAGG